CUGUUCAUGACAAUUUUCUGUAUAUUUUCAUUUAUGUUUUAUUUUGCUGGAUGUUGAGGGUUCGUAUACAUGCAUUUAUGAAAGAGAUUUAUAUUUUUUUGAUGUUUUAUUUUGUAUAUGGGUUUAUGGGCAUGUUUGUGAUUAAUUAUACCACAAGUGUGUUUGUCAGUGUAUCUACCCAUGUCUGAAUUAUAAGUACUUAUGGAAAGUAGAGUGUUAAGACUGAUAGAAAGGAAAAUGGAAACGAUAUUAGUAACAUGAUAUACACACUUGGAGCAACAUUUAUUUAAAGCAUUUUUAAAAAUCCGAAAAUGUAUAUUAAAAAAAUGCCUACCUUUUUAAAGUCACUCAUAACUUAGAUUUAAUGUUCUAUUAAUUCAGGUCUCAAGACUUUACCUGUAUAUUAAAAAACACGACAACAUAUGCAUUUACACAUUUUAUUCAGCAGAUAUCAGGAGUAUGUGCAUAAAAGAGAUCAACUUUGUACAAAUAGAAUCAGAAAAUAUAAAUACAUCUGUUCUACCAUUCUUGUAUUAAAAAAAUCUACAAUAUAAAGAGCAUCCAUUAUAUAUUAACACUGUAGAUCCCAUACUUACAAUUAACGCAGUUAGGAUAAGGAAAAAAAAAUAUUAAGAACACCCCUUCAGUGAGUAUUCUCUUUGAGUGUGAAAAAGGAGGAGGGGUAGGAGAAGAAG